UAGCACUUAACCACUAAACCACCAGUGGGGGCAGUUCUACUCUGUCCUACAGGGUCGCUAUGAGUUGGAAUCGACUCUACGGCACUGGACAGUAGAGGAAGGGAAAUACAUUGUCAAUGGAAGGGGUGAAGGGCUUCACAGAAUGUGUUUUCCUCUUUUCAGUGAUAUAGGAUUUUAGAAUGGCAAGCACACUUGUGGUCAUUUAUUGCAACCCCUUCAAUUUAGCGUUGAGUAAAUGCAGGCAUAGGAGAGCUCAAGAUAAAUUCUAACACAGAGCCUGUUAUUGCAGCUCUGCAUAAAAAUCCCCAGGCCCCUCCCUUGAUUCCUUCUCUUUUCACUAUAGCACCCUGUCUAUGAUAUUUUGAAUUUUGGGAUCACAUUUAUAUAUUUGGAGAAACCAAAAUAACCCAAACCAAACCCUUUGCCAUCAAGUUUAUUCUGACUCAUGGCCACCCCAUGUGUUACAGUGUAGAAUUGAGAUACGCUAGCAAUCAAAUGGGAACAAACCACUUAGGAUUCCUUUUACCAUCUCUAAGCUUUAACUUAGUCUUUCACGGAGUAGAAUAUACGGACAUAUAUCAAGGCAAUAUGUGUAGCAAUUGGGAACUCAGAACCUAAAUCCCUGGGCUCAAAUCCCGGCUCUGCCAUUUAUGACCUAUUCCAUUUUCUUCAUCUUAUAAAAUGGUGUUGGAAUAAGAAUUAAAUGAGGUUAGAUGUGAACAAGUACCUGCUAUAUGGUAAACUUUCAAAUAAUGUUAAUGAUAUUUUUCUAAUGAAUAGAAAUCAGAAACUUUAGUGCUUCUUGAAGACUUGGUGUAUUUACAUGCUUUAGUAGGAGCUAAGCAACAACUUUCAAACAAAGUUCUCACAAAUCAUUGAUUUUUGUCAAUAGGCAAAAUCAUCUGGUGGAGUUAUUCCGUUUAUUCUCAUCCCAUGGGAAUCUAGAACUCGAUUUGGAAGUUUUUGAUAACAUCUUCAACAUCUGACUUAAUAUCAACAUUACCAACUCAAGGAGCUGUUGAGUCCAAGUACGACUACCAAGAAGAAUCCAGAAAAGCCAAAGAGCCAAGCAUGUCAGACCUUCCUGCAGCCCACCACGCAUACUUAAAUCCCAAAGGAAAUGAGUGAGAAGCAUUGGGAAGAUGAGCUCCAACCAGGGUCCGGUGCCUUCUUGGUCUGGCAGUGUGGGCAUGAAGUGCCUACAAAAGAAGGUGCCUACCUUGGUAACUUGCUGUUCCUUGUGUAUCAUCAAGUGGAAGUGCGAAGCACCACAAGCUGCCUUGAGCAGAUCCCACUUCCCUUCACCCACAGAGAGCGUGAAGCAGUUACACCAACAUCAAUCAAGGAGAACCCACAGGCUGAACUCACACCGUUGAAGCAGGUGCACAAGCGAGCAGUCUCCAACAGGCUUAUGUGAUUGAGGUGCUCCCUGCUGCCGGGCCCGCAGAUGUCAGUUACAGUGUCUGUGUGUGCCUGUGCCCACUCCUCCUGGCCAAGACAAGCCUAUCUCACUCGUGGGAGAGAGCAGUGGAGCUCGUGGCGCUAAGGGAGCGGUUGAGUCGAACGUUCCUGAAUUGGUCUCUCUUUCUCUUCACUCAUUCACUUGUUGAAUGGUGAGCAGAAGGGUCUGAAAAAAAUAGUAUUUUAUUUUCUUCCUGUGGAGCUUUGCAGUGAGAACAACCCUUGGAUUGCUCGUUUAAAAUAGUAAACAGGAAAACACUAGCAGCAGCUGAUUUGCUCAAAUAAAGGGGAAACGUGCAAGGUCUAGAAUCUGUGUGUGUGUGUGUGUACAUAGACAUAAAUAUAUACCACAUAUAUGUGUGUGUGGAUAUGCGUAUAUAUGUGCAUGUGUGUAUAAGUAAACACACACACACACACACACAUAUGUAUACACACACACACACCCCCCCAUAUCACCAAUUUAAAAUAAAACCCACAUGGGCCAUGAAGUAAGGAGAGAAUAGAGAAUGUAAAAAUACCUGACAUAUUUUUAAGUGUCCAAUGAUAAGAUGAAAAUAUUAGUAGGAAAAAGAAAAAAAAGCAUAUCUCAUUCUGUGUUGAACCAUCCUGAUACAUACCAGGCUUUAGAAAAUUUCCACAAAAGUUUUUAGUGAUCUUAAAGAAAAAAGAAAAAAAAAAAAGAUUGAAACACUGAACACUAAGACUGUCACGUAUACUGUAUUUAAGUUUUUAGCCCCAAAGCUACUAGUACAUGUUGUUUAUGAAUAUCCACGUUGAGCUGAUGCUUCAAAAUAUUAUGCAUUUUACUUAUAUUUGAAUAUUUCAAAAAAGAUCACCCUUUCUCUAAGCAAUGUAAAUUGAAAUAAGACGGUUUUUAACUAUGAAAAUGGUUAAGUCGAAGAAUAAUUGUAAAACCUAUCAUUAGUAUGAGCCUGGGAAAAGUCGUGUACUAUUUGGCAGAAAAAUUUGUAUAUGCUCUCUGGAGAUUAUUUUUCAGAUAUAGGGUCAAAAGCCACAAAUGUGCUUAUUCACAGUUCUAGCAAUUCAGCUUCUAGACAAAUUUGACCUAAGACUAUGUUUAAACUUAUAUAAAAAAAUUAAGCUACAGGACUGUUCCUCACAAGUUUAUUUAUUUCCAAUGUAUUUUUUAGGAAUGUCUAAAAAAAUUAGAGUCACCAAGUAAAUUAUAGAAGAAAUAUACAAUAAAAUGCCACCUGAAGUAUUAAGACAAGGGUGUAGAUUUUAAUAUGAUUAAAAAAUACCUGUUACAUGCAUACAUGUUUGAGCAGGCCUUAGAAACAGUUUGGGAGAUUUUGCAUAAAUUAAAGGCUGCUAUCUCUAAGUGACUUGAGGGUAAUCAAAUGUCUUUAUUUUGCCUGUCUUUUCGUAACAAUUUUCAAAUAUUUAUGUGUUAUUGUUAAUUGCUGUUGAAUCUGCUCUGACUCACGGCGACCUUAUGUAUAAUGAAAUGGCAGAUCCUUCGCCAUCUUUGUGAUUGUUGGUAUGUUUGAAUCUGUUGUUGCGGCUAUUAUGUAGUGCCUUCCAACCUAGGGGGCUCAUCUUCCAGCACUAUAUCAGACAAUAUUCUGUUGGAUCCAUAAGGUUUUCACUGGCUAAUUUUCAGAAGUAGAUUUCCAGGCCUUUCUUCCUAGUCUGUCUUAGCCUGGAAGCUCUGCUGAAACCUUUCCACCAUGGGUGACCCUCUUGGUAUUUGAAAUGUGAGUGACAUAGUUCUCCGCAUCAUAGUGACACACAAGCAGCCACAGUACGGCAAACUAACAGACUGGUGGUGGAAUAUUCAUAUGUAUUUUCUGGGUCUUAAGUACGGUAGAAGGUAAACGUGGAAAUAGCAUUUGAAGAGUACACUCAUAAACAUUGUAUGGAAAAUAUUUGUGAGGUCUAGGAAGGGAAAGAACUAUUUUUAAUUUGCAAAAUGACCUCUUAGCAGACUACUGAUUAAUUUACUGAUUCAGCAAAUAUUUGUGUGCCUACUAUGUGCCAGAUGCUGAGCACAUGUUGCUAUGUGCUUUUCACAUGACAAGUGGUUGAGUCAAUUCUGAUACUUCUACAUACACGUGGCUUCACUAACAAAGAGUAAAGAAUAUAAAUAUGAAAGUACUUUAAAAUGGACAUGUAAAAAUUAAGAUUUGCGAGUGAUAUUUUGUUUUAUAAUAUUGUAUGUGUGUUUUAUCUGCUCUAUACUGUCUUGUGGAAACCCUGGUGGUGUAGUGGUUAAAUGCUAUGGCUCUUAACCAAGAGGUCGGUAGUUCGAAUCCACCAGGUGCUCCUUGGAAACUCUACGGGGCAGUUCUACUCUGUCCUAUAGGGUCGCUGUGAGUUGGAAUCUACUUGACGGCAGUGGGUUUGGGUUUUAUACUGUCUUCGGGUGGAAUCAAGGUUUUCCUACCAUGUAGCUACUUCGGACAACUUCAGUCAUCUGGAAAGCCAAAGGCAGCUAGGAACAUUAUUUGAAAGCCUUGACACCGUGUGUGGAAACUGUAAAGGACAUUAAAAAGCCUAUUGACAAGUGCUUUGAAAAAUCUGACCUCUCUUCAUUUUGUGGGUUUUUGGCUUUGAAACCCAAUCUCGCUUUCAUGUUCUGCAGGUGUCCUUCAGGGAAUUAGGACAGGAUUUGAAGGGUGGGAGAUUACUAUGAUGAAUUCAGUGUCCCUCCCAUGUGGAAUGUGGAGCCUGUGGAGGAUAUAAAUACUAGGUUCUGAUUAGGGAUGUUUGAUCAGAAUUCAGGGUGACUUGGAGAUGCUCAUCUAGAGGUUCCAAUGCUUCUCUGAGAACUGAAGAAUCUACCCAAAGGAUAGUCUUCUGACAUCCAGGCUCUGUCACCCCAAUGAAUCUAGAAGUGUAACCUCCCAUGUGACCUUUCAACACUUCGGCCUCUCAUGCUGUUGUUGUUAGGUGCUGUUGAGCCAAGUAGAUUUUGGCUCAUAGUGACCCCAUGUGACAGAGUAGAACUGCCCCAUAGAGUUUCCUAGGCUAUAAUCUUUACAGGAGCAGAUCACCAGGUCUUUUCUCUCAUGGAGCUGCUGGGUGGAUUCUAAUGGACAUCCUUUCAGUUAGCGACUCAGCACUUAACCAUUGAUCCACCAAGGCUUCUUAUAGUGGUAUGCAAUUAGAAAUAAAAUUCUGGAUGAACCACCCAGGGCUCCACAAUGAAAAGACU